CCUACGGGCGGCAGCAGUGAGGAAUAUUGGUCAAUGGCCGUAAGGCUGAACCAGCCAAGUAGCGUGAGGGAAGACUGCCCUAUGGGUUGUAAACCUCUUUUAUGCGGGGAUAAAGGUGUCCACGUGUGGAAGUUUGCAGGUACCGCAUGAAUAAGGACCGGCUAAUUCCGUGCCAGCAGCCGCGGUAAUACGGAAGGUCCGGGCGUUAUCCGGAUUUAUUGGGUUUAAAGGGAGCGUAGGCCGGUCUUUAAGCGUGCCGUGAAAUUUUGUGGCUCAACCAUGGGAGUGCGGCGCGAACUGGAGACCGUGAGUGCGCGGAAGGUAGGCGGAAUUCGUGGUGUAGCGGUGAAAUGCGUAGAUAUCACGAAGAACCCCGAUUGCGAAGGCAGCCUGCCGCAGCGUUACUGACGCUGAAGCUCGAAAGCGCGGGUAUCGAACAGGAUUAGAUACCCGAGUAGUC
rnacentral:rRNA from 1 species